AACCAUGCAAUGCACACAUAGUGAACUAUUCUUUCGCCUUUUACUAACGAGUACCGUGUGUGCAGUGCAAAUAGUGGCAUACGCCAAUUUUUGGAGGGGUUCUUUGUAUUGAGGAU
rfam:Capsicum annuum cultivar Zunla-1 chromosome 1, whole genome shotgun sequence